AGUAGGAUAGCUGGGUCAAAUGGUGGUGCCAUUCCUAGUUUUCUGAGGAAUCUCCAUACUGCUUUCCAUAGUGGUUGCACUAAUUUGUAAUCCCACCAGCAAU
rnacentral:pre_miRNA from 1 species